rnacentral:rRNA from 1 species
UACGUAGGGUGCAAGCGUUAAUCGGAAUUACUGGGCGUAAAAGCGUGCGCAGGCGGUUGUGCAAGACAGAUGUGAAAUCCCCGGGCUCAACCUGGGAAUUGCAUUUGUGACUGCACGGCUAGAGUGUGUCAGAGGGGGGGUAGAAUUCCACGUGUAGCAGUGAAAUGCGUAGAGAUGUGGAGGAAUACCGAUGGCGAAGGCAGCCCCCUGGGAUAACACUGACGCUCAUGCACGAAAGCGUGGGGGAGCAAACAGG